AAGUCGUAACAAGGUUUCCGUAGGUGAACCUGCGGAAGGAUCAUUACCAAUUCGACCUUGGGUUUGGAAAAAGCGUCGCGAGAUGCUUUUUCUGAAUUCCAUCCAACCAACCUUUGAUUGUGAACGUUGAGAUCUAUCAAGUCUUCCUGUGUUUGUUCACGGGGAGCAAUUUUAUCCAACCCCGCUGAUCCGCACCGCGCGUGUGGAAAAAGCAAGCGUUGAGCUCCGAAACUGAAAAAACACAAAAAUGUCAUGUACAACUUUUAACGGCGGAUCUCUUGGCUCGU
rnacentral:misc_RNA from 1 species